UUCAUCACAGUUCUUUUAUUUCAUAAAGACUAAGAUUAAAAAUCGUACAACAGACAGAAUGUUGAGUAGGCUGCAUCAUAUUAGAGCGCGCCCAUCUCAUCUAAAAAGCAUCAUUAAAUUGUUAGAGAAAAUAUACUUUUAAUUAAUUACUUAAUUAUAUUAUGUCUCAAUAGGUGGCCUUGGAGUGUGACGAUUAUUCGCUCCCGAGCCAGGGUAAUCAUGGCUCUCUAAAUCCAUCCUGCCAUUGAUCAUGAACUCUUUCUCUACAGCUUCCCAUUUCUUUAUCUGCUUUCAAUCAUAUUCAAAUAUACCCGCGAAACAAAGAAAAUGAGAUUAGAAACAAGAAAUCUAUGAAUUAACCUUACUCUCACAAAUAAGGUAAGGGUAAGGUCAGCGAACACACUAUUUUUUUCUGACCUAUUUAUGAGAUUACACUGGAUACGUUGUUGUAAUAUAUACAAGGAGAAGUACCUGGUUAGUAUAUGCAGGUGGUGGAAGCUCUUGAUUUUCAUGCAAAAACAGACGUGUAUUCCCUGUAGUACAAGAAGAAUGGAGUUUAAUGAAAAAUAUUAAAAUCAGAUAUUAGUAACUUAAGCCAUUUAAAGAAUUAGAUAGAGAAGUGAUCAAGAUUAUGUACUUGAAACUGGAGCAGCAUUAAGUGAGAAAAUAGUAGAGAAAACUAAUAAAGCUGUAAGUAGAUGAAGGACAUUAUUCCCUGCCAUUUUCUGUAUAUAUGACACUAAAAACUCCUCCGCAAAUAAUUCAUCCUAAUCCACUUCCCUAUUUAUACUGUAUACACUUGUAGUUGAAGUACUCUAUUGUAUUAGAAGCAAAAAGAAAUUAUUUAUUUAUGUCUAAUUAAAACACAAGAAUCUGUCCUAAAAUUAUAGUAUAUAAAUAUAAAUAUUGGUUAAACACUUUUGUUAUGGAGGAAUACCUACCCUAGUAAUUCCUGUCCUCCCUCAGAACAACAUAUCAAUCCCUUACUUUUCCAUAUAUGAUCAGAUUGACUUAUUUUAUAGCUAAGUUGUU
rnacentral:lncRNA from 1 species